rnacentral:rRNA from 1 species
CAAUAGCGUAUAUUAAAGUUGUUGCAGUUAAAAAGCUCGUAGUUGGAUUUCUGGUUGAAGCGACCGGUCGGGCGUUGAUUCGUCUGCACUGGAGUCGGUUUUGGCCAUCCUCUAGGAAAGUGCGUCUGGUAUUAAGUUAUCGGGCGUAUGAUCCUGGUCUUUUACUGUGAAAAAAUUAGAGUGUUUAAAGCAGGCCUUCGCCUUGAAUACAUCAGCAUGGAAUAAUAAGAUAGGACUUUGGUCUAUUUUGUUGGUUUGCAGACCGAAGUAAUGAUUAAUAGGGAUAGUUGGGGGUAUUUAUAUUCCGAUGUCAGAGGUGAAAUUCUUAGAUUUUCGGAAGAUAAACUUAUGCGAAAGCAUUUACCAAGGAUGUUUUCAUUAA